UACGAAGGGGGCAAGCGUUGUUCGGAAUUACUGGGCGUAAAGGGCGCGUAGGCGGCUUAUCAAGUCAGGCGUGAAAUUCCCGGGCUCAACUUGGGGGCUGCGCUUGAUACUGAUUGGCUUGAAUGCGGGAGAGGAUAGUGGAAUUCCCAGUGUAGAGGUGAAAUUCGUAGAUAUUGGGAAGAACACCGGUGGCGAAGGCGGCUAUCGUGGCCCGUAAUUGACGCUGAGGCGCGAAAGCGUGGGGAGCAACAGG
rnacentral:rRNA from 1 species